rnacentral:rRNA from 1 species
CCUACGGGAGGCAGCAGUGAGGAAUAUUGGACAAUGGGCGCAAGCCUGAUCCAGCCAUGCCGCGUGCAGGAAGACGGUCCUAUGGAUUGUAAACUGCUUUUGUACAGGAAGAAACACUCCCUCGUGAGGGAGCUUGACGGUACUGUAAGAAUAAGGAUCGGCUAACUCCGUGCCAGCAGCCGCGGUAAUACGGAGGAUCCAAGCGUUAUCCGGAAUCAUUGGGUUUAAAGGGUCCGUAGGCGGUUUAAUAAGUCAGUGGUGAAAUCUGGUCGCUCAACGAUCAAACGGCCAUUGAUACUGUUAGACUUGAAUUAUUAGGAAGUAACUAGAAUAUGUAGUGUAGCGGUGAAAUGCUUAGAUAUUACAUGGAAUACCAAUUGCGAAGGCAGGUUACUACUAAUGGAUUGACGCUGAUGGACGAAAGCGUGGGGAGCGAACAGGAUUAGAUACCCUGGUAGUCCACGCCGUAAACGAUGGAUACUANCUGUCGUGACAUAUGUAGUGUGUAGAGAAGUAGAGUAAGUAUACCACC